rnacentral:rRNA from 1 species
UACGAAGGGGGCUAGCGUUGUUCGGAUUUACUGGGCGUAAAGCGCACGUAGGCGGAUCGAUCAGUCAGGUGUGAAAUCCCAGAGCUCAACUCUGGAACUGCCUUUGAUACUGUCGAUCUGGAGUAUGGAAGAGGUGAGUGGAAUUCCGAGUGUAGAGGUGAAAUUCGUAGAUAUUCGGAGGAACACCAGUGGCGAAGGCGGCUCACUGGUCCAUUACUGACGCUGAGGUGCGAAAGCGUGGGGAGCAAACAGG